rnacentral:rRNA from 1 species
CCUACGGGCGGCAGCAGUGAGGAAUAUUGGUCAAUGGACGCAAGUCUGAACCAGCCAAGUAGCGUGCAGGAUGACGGCCCUCCGGGUUGUAAACUGCUUUUAUUUGGGAAUAAAAGGGGGCUCGUGAGCCCCGUAUUGUAUGUACCAUCAGAAAAAGGACCGGCUCAUGCCGUGCCAGCAGCCGCGGUAAUACGGAAGGUCCGGGCGUUAUCCGGAUGUAUUGGGUUUAAAGGGAGCGUAGGCCGGCUUUUAAGUCAUGUGUGAAAGUCCGCGGCUCAACCGUGGAAUUGCAUGUGAGACUGGAAGUCUUGAGUGCACACAGGGAUGCCGGAAUUCGUGGUGUAGCGGUGAAAUGCUUAGAUAUCACGAAGAACUCCGAUUGCGAAGGCAGCUUACUAAACUGCCACUGACAUUGAUGCUCGAAAGUGUGGGUAUCAAACAGGAUUAGAUACCCGAGUAGUC